rnacentral:rRNA from 1 species
UGUUGAUGCGUGGCCGGCGGCGCCGGGAAGAGGUGGGGGGCAGGGGUUGUCCGGAGUUAUGGGGCUGAAAGCGGGCGCAGGGGGUUCCUUAAGCCUGAUGUGAAAGCCCACGGCUCAACCGUGGAAGGUCAUUGGAAACGGGGGAACUUGAGUGCAGAAGAGGAGAGUGGAAUUCCAUGUGUAGCGGUGAAAUGCGUAGAUAUAUGGAGGAACACCAGUGGCGAAGGCGACUCUCUGGUCUGUAACUGACGCUGAGGCUCGAAAGCGUGGGGAGCAAACAGGAUUAGAUACCCGUGUAGUC